rnacentral:lncRNA from 1 species
UUAUUUGCAGAUGAUUGGGUUUGUCAUUGUUUUCCCCUAAUUUCAGGGGCAAUGUGUCACUGCUGGCUCUCUCACAUGCCAGAUGCAGACACACUGAAGACCCAUGCACACUUCACAGGCACGUGCACACCUCACCCACCCUAUGCACACCUCACAGAUACAGUACACAUCACAGGCACGUGCACACCUCACAGACCCAGCACAUGUCACAGACCCGUGCACACCUCACAGACCCAGCACAUGUCACAGACCUGUGCACACCUCACAGAUCCAGCACACUCCAUAAGCACAUGCACAUAUCACAGACCCAGACCCAGCACGUCACAGACCCGUGCACACCUCACAGAUUCAGCACGUCACAGACCCAUGCACACCUCACAGACCCGUGCACACCUCACAGAUACAGUACACAUCACAAGCACGUGCACACCUCACAGACCCAGCACGUGUCACAGACCCAUGCGCACCUCUCCGACCCGUGCACACCUCACAGACCCAGCACAUGUCACAGACCCAUGCACACCUCACAGACCCGUGCACACCUCACAGAUACAGUACAAAUCACAGGCACGUGCACACCUCACAGACCCAGCACGUGUCACAGACCCAUGCACACCUCACAGACCCGUGCACACCUCACAGAUACAGUACACAUCACAGGCAUGUGCACACCUCACAGACCCAACACGUCACAGACCCGUGCACACCUCACAGACCCAGCACGUGUCACAGACCCAUGCACACCUCACAGACCCGUGCACACCUCACAGAUACAGUACACAGUACACAUCACAGGCACGUGCACACCUCACAGACCCAGCACAUGUCACAGACCCGUGCACACCUCACAGACCCAGCACAUGUCACAGACCUGUGCACACCUCACAGAUCCAGCACACUCCAUAAGCACAUGCACAUAUCACAGACCCAGACCCAGCACGUCACAGACCCGUGCACACCUCACAGAUUCAGCACGUCACAGACCCAUGCACACCUCACAGACCCGUGCACACCUCACAGAUACAGUACACAUCACAGGCACGUGCACACCUCACAGACCCAGCACAUGUCACAGACCCGUG